rnacentral:lncRNA from 1 species
CCCAACUCUGGCCAUCCACCUCCAGGACAGGGGCUAUAAAGGGAGAGCCCCCUUUUUCCUACUCCCCCGUCCCUGCAACAGGCAUUUUGUGGACCUGGGAACCUUGUAUGAUGGAUGCAGACAUAAGUUAGCAGGAAAGAAUAUAAAUGAUUUCAUGAAUGUAUUUGAGGAGUCGUGUUUUUACAAGAACGGGUAGCUUGAAAUGUGGUCGGUUCCCCUGCUGAAUACUUGCAAUCUUGUAGGGUCCCUCAAGCUCAGAUUCCCGAAAACACAUUUUUCUUCAUCUGAGCACUUUUACCCAGAGGCAGGAAUGGCUGCAGAAAUCUCAGCAUGGAGGACACUUCACAGCAGGCAACCCUCUGGCACAGUUUUCACAGACACGAGCAACGUCCUUCUGGGGCCAGGAGAUGUGCAUGGGUGCUCUCGGUGCAUCGGCUACUGGACAGCUCUUGAAGAUGCCAUGACAGUGAGCAAUUUCUUAUCUUGGUUGCCAACCUUUCAGUUGCGGGAAUCUAUGAACUAAUGGUUUUUCUGUCUUUUUCUUGAGAAAAGAAAAGAGAAUUAGAUUUGUGCCCUGGUCUCCUUAACUCCGUCUGUUUUAAAAUUUUAAACAAAUUAUUCUUUCUCUUCUCAGCUCCUUAUUCAGCCUGUCUCAACCCUGGAUGUAUGUUAAUGCUAUGUGGAGAGCUUUAAAAAUACCCAUGACACCUUUUGGGACCGGGCCAACUCAGCCAGGGUCUCAGGGGGAGAGGGCCGAGCCUCUCCUCUCCUGGGGAGGGAGGUGGCUCUCCUGGUUUUUGUAUUUGUGCUCCCCACUGGGUUCUUACAGGGGCUCAGCUUGGGGACCCCUGCACACGUCAUCAUGCUUUCUUGGGUCUUUUUGGAUCUUUCCCCACAGCCUCUGCCCUUACAAUUUACUGUCUACGGUGUGAUUCUCAAAGUAUGGCGCUCUAACUAGUGGCAACAAUGUCACCUGGGAAGGAAACGUCAGUUCCCAGCCCUGUCCCAGCUCUGCUGGCUCAGAGACUCGCUGGGGUGGACCCAGCAAUCUGUGCUGAUUGGAGUGAGCUGAAGCCUGAGAACACCUGUCUGAGGCACCAACUCUCCCCCUCUCCAUGAGCAAUUUCAACUUUCCAGCUUUGGCUUCCUUCUGCCAGUGGCAGGUGUCCAUCUGGAUGUCCCAGCAGUGCCUUGCAAUCAUGUCAAAUACUAAACCCAUGCCUUCCCCUCUUUGUCUCUACCUAUUGUCCUCACCAGGAUUCUGGACAUCUAGACUCCAUAUCUGAGUUUUGUCAGCUUUACCUUGCUCCCUUUCCUGGCAACCAAUCUGUCCCCAAUUCCAUGUGCUUCUCCUUCACCCUUGCUAUGAGGCCCGGCUUUCCUGGGAUCAUCACAGCCACUCUUCCCAGGGGAACUGGAACUUCCCUUCCUUCCCUCACUGCCAUCAUAUUUGCUACUGCUCUUGGAAAAACCUUC